CCAUCUCUUGUCUGAUCCUCCGGAUUUGCUCCUCCAUCUCAGCAGCUGCAACUCGUGACGCUAUCAGCGACUGCAUGACACGCCGAUUAACCUUUCGCUCCCUUGCCAAUCUAGCCCUCAUAGCUCUCAGGCCACGACCCUUGAUGAUGUGUAG